AUUUAAAUAGCUUAUAAUAUAAAGUAUAAUAUUGAAGAUAUUAUGAAAAUAAAAUUUUUAUUUUUAGAUA
rnacentral:tRNA from 1 species